rfam:Mesocricetus auratus contig008623, whole genome shotgun sequence.
GUGUGUCUUGCUUCAACAGUGUUUGGACUGCCUC